rnacentral:rRNA from 1 species
UACGGAGGGUGCGAGCGUUGUCCGGAAUCAGCUAGGGCGUAAAGGGCGCGUAGGCGGCUCGUGAAGUCAGUAGGUCGAAAGCCCAGGCAUCAACUCUGGGUCGGCCUCUGAUACUCGCGAGCUCGAGUUUGGUAGAGGACAGAUGGAAUUCCGGGUGUAGCGGUGGAAUGCGUAGAGAUCCGGAAGAACACCGGUGGCGAAGGCGGUCUGGACUGGGCCCAAGACUGGACGGCUGAGGCGCGACAGCGGUGGGGAAGCAAACGAGG